rnacentral:rRNA from 1 species
UACGUAGGGUGCGAGCGUUAAUCGGAAUUACUGGGCGUAAAGUGUGCGCAGGCGGCCGAGCAAGUCGAGUGUGAAAGCCCCGAGCUUAACUUGGGAACUGCGCUCGAAACUACUUGGCUAGAGUGUGGCAGAGGGAGGUAGAAUUCCACGUGUAGCGGUGAAAUGCGUAGAUAUGUGGAGGAAUACCGAUGGCGAAGGCAGCCUCCUGGGCCAACACUGACGCUCAUGCACGAAAGCGUGGGGAGCAAACAGG